AAUGAACGUUGGCGGCGUGGAUUAGGCAUGCAAGUCGAACGCUCCGCGAGGGGAGUGGCGGAAGGGUGAGUAAGGCGACGGUAACCAACCCCGCGGUCGGGCAUAGCCGAGGGAAACCUCGGGUAAUUCCCGGCGACGUGUGGUCCUGGCAUCAGGGCUCCACCAAAGGUCCGCCGCCGCGGGACGGGCCGUCGUGGUAUUAGCUUGUUGGUGAGGUGAUGGCUCACCAAGGCGGCGAUGCCUACCGGGCGUGCGAGCGUGGCCCGGCACACUGGGA
rnacentral:rRNA from 1 species